rnacentral:pre_miRNA from 1 species
CCAUAUUAUAAUAUCUUCGACGGAUUCCGCCUGAAAGACAUGGGUAGUGAGAUGUUCUCACGCAAUCGCGUCUCACUACCUUGUCUUUCAUGUGGCGUUCGUUGAACCCC